AAACGCGUACUGUGUACCGCGUGGCGUACGAUAUGUAUACAGUAUGUGCAAAGCAAAGUUCGGUCGCGGAAGUAGUGCUCCAAGCUUUCUCGAGGAGUUCUGAAUUGAAGAGAAUAUUACCACCAACUAACAGUACCAAGUAGCUGUUCAAGAUAUUGCACUGCAGCAGUUUCAUAUUUCCCUGCAGCUAUAGGCCCCUGUUGCCUUGUACCCAUUUCUGUGCUCAAGAUGUGCUAUAAAGUCAAGUGUGACAAAUGCCAGAAAUUCACCUGGAAAGGAUGUGGCCGUCAUGCAGAACAAGUCAUGAAGGAUAUACCACAGGAGGAGAGAUGCCAGUGUCCCAGAUCUUGAUUUACAUGAUCAUUGGAUGGCUUCAAAAUGCAUGCACCGGAAGUAUUUGGCAUUAUUGAGUGUACUCUGCAGGGCCAAACUUAAAG